UUGAAGAGGACUUGGAACU
rnacentral:sRNA from 1 species